rnacentral:rRNA from 1 species
GGCUCAGGAUGAACGCUAGCGGCAGGCUUAACACAUGCAAGUCGAGGGGCAGCAUGAGGGUUAGCAAUAACUCUUGAUGGCGACCGGCGCAAGGGUGCGUAACGCGUGAGAAACCUGCCUCUCAGUGGGGGGACAACAGUUGGAAACGACUGCUAAUACCGCAUAACACUUUAGUACCGCAUGGUACAGAAGUCAAAGCUUUAUGUGCUGAGAGAUGGUCUCGCGUCUGAUUAGCUAGAUGGCGGGGUAACGGCCCACCAUGGCGACGAUCAGUAGCCGGUCUGAGAGGAUGAAACGGCCACAUUGGGACUGAGAUACGGCCCAGACUCCUACGGGAGGCAGCAGUGGGGAAUAUUGCACAAUGGGGGAAACCCUGAUGCAGCAACGCCGCGUGAAGGAAGACGGUCUUCGGAUUGUAAACUUCUUUUCUCAAGGACGAUAAUGACGGUACUUGAGGAAUAAGCCACGGCUAACUACGUG